AGUGAACGCUGGCGGUAGGCUUAACACAUGCAAGUCGAACGACAACUCACUAAGAGCUUGCGGUUAAGGAUUGCCAGUCGGGGAAGGAUGAGUUAGACAUCGGACUAUAAUUUUUCGUGGGGGAUAACGAAGUGAAAUUAAUGCCAAUAACGAAUACCACCUGAGGGUGAAAGCAGGGGCUUUUCGGACCAUGAGCGUAUGACUGAGUAGCUGUUGGAUGAGCUAGAUGGCGGGGUAAAGGCCCACCAAGGCGACGAUCGGUAGCUGGUCUGAGAGGAUGAUCAGCCACACCGGAACUGAGACACGGUCCGGACUCCUACGGGAGGCAGCAGUGGGGAAUAUUGGACAAUGGGGGCAACCCUGAUCCAGCCAUGCCGCGUGUGUGAAGAAGGCCUUUUGGUUGUAAAGCCCUUUUGUUAGGAAGGAAAGGCUACUGGUUAAUACCCCUCUGAUCUGACGUUACCCAAAGAAUAAGCACCGGCUAACUCCGUG
rnacentral:rRNA from 1 species